UACGUAGGGUGCGAGCGUUAAUCGGAAUUACUGGGCGUAAAGCGUGCGCAGGCGGCGCGUUAAGACAGGUGUGAAAGCCCCGAGCUUAACUUGGGAAUUGCGCUUGUGACUGGCGUGCUGGAGUGUGGCAGAGGGAGGUGGAAUUCCACGUGUAGCAGUGAAAUGCGUAGAGAUGUGGAGGAACACCGAUUGCGAAGGCAGCUUACUAAAGUGUGAUUGACGCUGAGGCACGAAAGCGUGGGGAUCAAACAGG
rnacentral:rRNA from 1 species